UCAAAUAGAAUGGAGCAUAAGCAGACAACUAGACUCUAUUUAUUGAAUUGACAGCGUGAAAGUCCNCCACUCCUGUCUAGUAAGGUUCAAGCUAUAGUAGCUGGGCCUGUAGUUAAUGGAUAUUAGAGUAAGGGAAACAGCCCAGAUCGUACGCUAAGGUCCCUAAGCAAUCACUUAGUGGAAAAGGAAGUGAUCGAGCGAUGACAACCAGGAGGUGGGCUUGGAAGCAGCCAUCCUUUGANGAAAGCGUAAUAGCUCACUGGUCUAGCUCCAUGGCACCGAAAAUGUCUCAGGGCUCAAGUGAUUCACCUCGAGAAACCAUCGCCCAAAGGUGCUU
rnacentral:ncRNA from 1 species